rnacentral:rRNA from 1 species
AACGUAGGAGACAACCGUUAUCCGGAGUUACUGGGCGUAAAGGGCGUGUAGGUGGUUGUGUAAGUUCGGCGUGAAAUCUCUCGGCUUAACCGGGAGUGGUCGUCGGAUACUGCACGACUAGAGGACGGUAGAGGCGUGUGGAAUUCCGGGUGUAGUGGUGAAAUGCGUAGAGAUCCGGAGGAACACCAGUGGCGAAGGCGACACGCUGGGCCGUACCUGACACUGAGGCGCGAUAGCAUGGGGAGCAAACAGG